GACGAACGCUGGCGGCGUGCUUAACACAUGCCAGUCGAACGGGUCUGCCCUGUUUUUUGCGGGGUGGGUCAGUGGCGAACGGGUGAGUAACACGUGAGUAACCUGCCCCUCACUUCUGGAUAACCGCUUGAAAGGGUGGCUAAUACGGGGUGUUCUGGCUGUGCCGCAUGGUGUGGCUGGGAAAGAUUCACUUUUGUGGUGUUUUGGUGGGGGAUGGGCUCGCGGCCUAUCAGCUUGUUGGUGGGGUGAUGGCCUGCCAAGGCUUUGACGGGUAGCCGGCCUGAGAGGGUGGGCGGUCACACUGGGACUGAGAUACGGCCCAGACUCCUGCGGGAGGCAGCAGUGGGGGGUAUUGCACAAUGGGCGGAAGCCUGAUGCAGCGACGCCGCGUGAGGGAUGGAGGCCUUCGGGUUGUGAACCUCUUUCGCCGGUGAAGAAGGUCCUGCUCUUUGUGGUGGGGUUGACGGUAGCCGGGUUAUGAAGCGCCGGCUAACUACGUG
rnacentral:rRNA from 1 species